CCACAGGUUAAUACACUCUACUGAUCCCUGAUGGGAGAAUCAUCACCUCUGCCAACAAAGAAGCCUGGUGGAUAUUUGUUUGCAGUCUGAUGAUGGGACAUCAUGCUCUGCAUCUUCAAAUCUUUUUGCAGGAUCAGAAAACAAAACCAGGAGGCCUGUAAAUGUUUCUUCUCCAAUUGGAUGAUGAUAAGACUGUGACACGGGAUGCCACAUUUAGUCUUAUGAUGAAGCAAAGCUCAGGAAGAAGUGGGAUUAAAUGGUACCCACAUGUGUGCUGCUGAGAAGGAUGUACAGGGGCACCUGCAGCCAAAUCCAAGCCUCCUCAGCAACUUCAAGUCUGUCAGCGUGCUGAGGUCACAGAAACAAGAAAAGCAGCUUGACUUCAGAGUGUUGUUUACAGUUUUCUGUCAUCAUGAUCUCCCCUGAAGUUUAUCACUAUUACACAAGCAAUGGUGAUGGUGUGGAGAGACGGUGGUGUUUCCUCAGAAGAACUAGCAGAGUCACCAAGGACACGAGUCCAUCUCACCACCUUGACUUACUGACUGAUGCUCGUCUGCACUGCACAGAGGAAAUCAACUGACCGAGGUAAAUCUCCAGUUUCUGAGUGAGGGAGAGAGGAGUCAUCAUCCAGGUAAAGUGACGUGGAUCAGUGGAUACACUUGUCUCCCCUUUAAAGGAGACACUCUUAGAGAGAGACGAUCCGAGUCAUCAUAAAAUAUGGGCAGGAUAUCACUAUUAGACUGUCUAACCUGCCGGAGCAGCACUGAAUGAUCACCACACAUGAGCAUGUUCCUGCAACAUUCAGCAUCUGAUCUGCCAUCUGUGUGCUUCUGCUUUUGUGUCAAAUGUCAAACAGCUGGAGAGGAAACUACACCAGUGUACUGGGAUGUUUCAUCAACACGUGCCAGACGCUGUUCCUUCAUGGUGACAUCACCAGAGACAGCCCCGCCCACCUCAGGACCUCGCCAUUGAUCAUGAUGAUUAUAAUGAUGACAGCGAGCGGAACUAAGUCUGUAAAAAUCCACGACCAGAAUGUUUAGAUGCUUUCUAAUUAUUAAUGAAUACUGAGAGCCUCUUUCUGUGUUUUGUCUGUUUUGUUUUGUUUUGUUUUUUACCUCAUUUGUUACUAACAAAGUUCACCAAACUCACACAGUUUACAUUCUGUAUGUUUCCAUCUUUACCAGCCACACUCUACCCGCAAUUAAGCAAAUAAUCCUUAGAAAUCGUCGUUUUUCUCUUUUGUAAUUGGUGAUAAUUCAGUGAAUAUACUGCGCUGCUUCCUUUUAUUGCGUCACACAUUGCUUUAAGUUUUUCAGUGUCCAGUUAUUUUUUUACUGCUGUUUGAAUUCUCUGUAUGUUUGACCCUGUAGACUGUUUAAUGGACUGCUUGUCUUGUAACCGCUGCCUGUUUUUGACUAAAGAUUUGGAUUUCUGACUUUAACACAG